rnacentral:lncRNA from 1 species
UCAUAGAAAUAGGUCACGAAACAGAUGGCUCAUGAUCACUGGAUAUGGAAGAAAAGAAGGAAAGAAAGAAGGAAGGAAGG